UUUGGUGUGGUAUAAUAGCACAUGUAGAAAGUGCGAAAGAUGGUGGCUAAAUCUCUUGAAAAAGGGGUGAUGCCUAUGUAUUUAAUUAGGUUUACUCCUAGAAAGGAAUAGACUUGACUUGACUGUUUUUGAAGCGUUGAGCCUAAUGAUUGCGUUUGCGACAUUGGUUCUACUACUAAAAAACGAUAA
rnacentral:sRNA from 1 species